rnacentral:rRNA from 1 species
GUGGGGAAUAUUGGACAAUGGGCGCAAGCCUGAUCCAGCCAUGCCGCGUGAGUGAUGAAGGCCUUAGGGUUGUAAAGCUCUUUCAGUGGGGACGAUAAUGACGGUACCCACAGAAGAAGCCCCGGCUAACUUCGUGCCAGCAGCCGCGGUAAUACGAAGGGGGCUAGCGUUGUUCGGAUUUACUGGGCGUAAAGCGCACGUAGGCGGAUCGUUAAGUCGGGGGUGAAAUCCUGGAGCUCAACUCCAGAACUGCCUUCGAUACUGGCGAUCUUGAGUCCGGAAGAGGUGAGUGGAACUCCUAGUGUAGAGGUGGAAUUCGUAGAUAUUAGGAAGAACACCAGUGGCGAAGGCGGCUCACUGGUCCGGUACUGACGCUGAGGUGCGAAAGCGUGGGGAGCAAACAGGAUUAGAUAUCCUUGUAGUCC